rnacentral:rRNA from 1 species
AUACGUAGGGGGCUAGCGUUAUCCGGAAUUACUGGGCGUAAAGGGUGCGUAGGUGGUUUCUUAAGUCAGAAGUGAAAGGCCACGGCUCAACCGUAGAAAUCUUUUGAAACUAAGAGACUUGAGUGCAGGAGAGGAGAGUAGAAUUCCUAGUAUAGCUGUGAAAUGCGUAGAUUUUAGGAGGAAUACCAGUUGCGAAGGCGGCCCAUUGGACAGUAACUGGCACUGAGGCAGGAAAGCGGGGGGAACAAACAUGGUUAGAAUCCCGGGUAGUCCACGCCGUAAACGAUGUGUCCUAGCUGUCGGGGGGUACCCCCCUCGGUGUCGCAGCUAACGCAUUAAGUACGCCGCCUGGGAAGUACGCGCGCAAGAGGGAAACUCAAAGGAAUUGACGGGG